AUUGAACGCUGGCGGCAGGCUUAACACAUGCAAGUCGAGCGAGCGGCGGACGGGUGAGUAAGUUCUGGGAAACUGCCUGAUGGAGGGGGAUACCUACUGGAAACGGUAGCUAAUACCGCAUACCACCAGAUCUGCCCCAGGGGAAGUAGCUAGUCGGGGGGGUAAUGGCUCACCUAGGCGACGAUCCCUAGCUGGUCUGAGAGGAUGACGAGCCACACUGGAACUGAGACACGGCCCAGACUCCUACGGGAGGCAGCAGUGGGGAAUAUUGCACAAUGGGCGCAAGCCUGAUGCAGCCAUGCCGCGUGAAUGAAGAAGGCCUUCGGGUGGUAAAGUUCUUUCAGCGGAGAGGCGUUACCCGCAGAAGAAGCACCGGCUAACUCCGUGCCAGCAGCCGCGGUAAUUC
rnacentral:rRNA from 1 species